rnacentral:rRNA from 1 species
GACAGAGGAUGCAAACGUUGCUCGGAAUUACUGGGCGUAAAGCGCAUGUAGGCGGUCUUGUAAGUCGGACGUGAAAGCCCGGGGCUCAACCCCGGAAGCGCGCUCGAUACUGCUUGACUUGGGUUCUGAAGAGGAGAGCGGAAUUCCCGGUGUAGAGGUGAAAUUCGUAGAUAUCGGGAGGAACACCAGUGGCGAAGGCGGCUCUCUGGGCAGAUACCGACGCUGAGAUGCGAAAGCGUGGGAAGCAAACAGGAUUAGAUACCCUGGUAGUCCACGCUGUAAACGAUGACAACUGGGUGUUGCGGGUAUUGACUCCCGCUGCGCCGAAGCUAACGCGUUAAGUUGUCCGCCUGGGAAGUACGGCCGCAAGGCUA